rnacentral:rRNA from 1 species
GAUGAACGCUGGCGGCGUGCCUAAUACAUGCAAGUCGAGCGAACGGACGAGAAGCUUGCGUCUCGGAUGUUAGCGGCGGACGGGUGAGUAACACGUGGAUAACCUACCUAUAAGACUGGGAUAACUUCGGAAAACCGGAGCUAAUAGCGGAUGAUAUUUUGAACCGCAUUGUUCAUAAGUGAAAGACGGUCGUGCUGUCACUUAUAGAUGGAUCCGCGCUGCAUUAGCUAGUUGGUAAGGUAACGGGUUACCAAGGCAACGAUGCAUAGCCGACCUGAGAGGGUGAUCGCCGACCCUGGAACUUAGCCACGGUCCAGACUCCUACGGGAGGCAGCAGUCGGGAAUCUUCCGCAAUGGGCGAAAGCCUGACGGAGCAACGCCGCGUGAGUGAUGAAGGUCUUCCGAUCGUAAAACUCUGUUAUUAGGGAAGAACAUAUGUGUAAGUAACUGUGCACAUCUUGACGGUACCUAAUCAGAAAGCCACGGCUAACUACGUG